UCAAGCUACUAAGAGCGCAUGAAGGAUGCCUUGGCACCGGUAGGCGAUGAAGGACGUGUAAAGCUGCGAUAAGUCGCGGGGAGCUGCAUACAAGCUUUGAUCCGUGAAUUUCCGAAUGGAGAAAUCCGUCAGAAGUAAUGUUCUGUCAUCAUAAACUGAAUCCAUAGGUUUAUGAAGCGAGACGCAGUGAAGUGAAACAUCUCAGUAACUGCAGGAAAAGAAAUCAAAAGACAUUCCGCAAGUAGUGGCGAACGAACGCGGAGGAGCCCAAACCAGGCGGCUUGCCGUCUGGGGUUGCGGGACCCCGAUGUGAUAUCACGGAAGUUAGUUGAACGAUCUGGAAAGUUCGUCCAAAGAGGGUGACAGGCCCGUAAACGACAACCGAAGUGAGUCUAGGGGUAUCCCAAGUAGGUCGGCACACGUGAAACUCCGACUGAAUCCGGGGAGACCACUCUCCAAGGCUAAAUACUAACCGGUGACCGAUAGUGAACAAGUACCGCGAGGGAAAGGUGAAAAAGUACCCCUGUUAGGGGAGUGAAAAGUAUCUGAAAUCAUGCGCUUACAAAGUGUGGGAGCCCUUCGGGGUGACCGCAUGCCUUUUGCAUAAUGAGCUUGCGACUUACUUUAUGUAGCGAGGUUAAGCCAGUGGCGAAGCCGAAGCGAAAGCGAGUGCGAAUAGCGCGUCUAGUUGCAUGAAGUAGACCCGAAACUGAGUGAUCUAUCCAUGGUCAGGCUGAAUCUCCGGUAACACGGAGUGGAGGGCCGAACCGGUGAGCGUUGAAAAGCUUUCGGAUGAGAUGUGGGUAGGGGUGAAAUUCCAAUCGAACGCGGAGAUAGCUGGUUCUCCCCGAAAUAGCUUUAGGGCUAGCCUGAGGUAGUAAGUAUAGGCGGUAGAGCACUGAUCGGGCUAGGGGCCGUAAAGGUUACCGAACCCUGUCAAACUCCGAAUGGAUAUACUGUAGAGCCUUGGAGUCAGACUACGAGUGAUAAGAUCCGUGGUCAAAAGGGAAACAGCCCAGACCACCAGCUAAGGUCCCCAAUGUCGUACUAAGUGGAAAAGGAUGUGGGGUUUCAUAAACAACCAGGAUGUUGGCUCAGAAGCAGCCACCAUUUAAAGAGUGCGUAAUAGCUCACUGGUCGAGAGACCCUGCGCCGAAGAUUCCCGGGGCUAAAGUACGAAACCGAAGCUGUGGCUGUAUACGUAAAGUAUACGGGGUAGGGGAGCGUUCCCAUAGGGUAGAAGUCGAACUGGAAGGUUCGGUGGACUUGUGGGAAGUGAGAAUGUUGGUAUGAGUAGCGAAAAGAAAGGUGAGAAUCCUUUCCACCGAAAGCAUAAGGAUUCCUGAGCAACGAUCGUCGUCUCAGGGUAAGUCGGGACCUAAUCCGAGGCAGAGAGCGUAGGAGAUGGACAACUGGUUGAUAUUCCAGUACCGGUAGUAAUUGUUUGAGCAAUGGAGUGACACAGAAGGGCAGGCAAGCAUGCGAAUGGAAGAGCAUGUGUAAGCGUGUAGGGUGGUGCAUAGGCAAAUCCGUGCACUGAAAGCCUGAGGCGUGAUGCGGAGUGAGCAGAGAUGCGAGCGAAGUUGUUGACCCCACACUGUCGAGAAAAGCUUCUAGUGAGAGAGCUACCGCCCGUACCGUAAACCGACACAGGUAUGCGGGGAGAGAAUCCUAAGGUGCGCGGGAGAACCCUCGUUAAGGAACUCGGCAAAAUGUACCCGUAACUUCGGGAUAAGGGUAGCCACUGUUGUGAAGUCCCAUGCGGAUGGAGCAUAGAGUGGUCGCAGAGAAGAGGCCCAAGCGACUGUUUACCAUAAACACAGGUGCCUGCUAAAGCGAAAGCUGACGUAUAGGUGCUGACACCUGCCCAGUGCCGGAAGGUUAAGGAAGGAUGUUCGGAUUAGUCCAAAGCAUUCGACUGAAGCCCCGGUGAACGGCGGCCGUAACUAUAACGGUCCUAAGGUAGCGAAAUUCCUUGUCGGGU
rnacentral:rRNA from 1 species